rnacentral:rRNA from 1 species
UAUAAAUGUAAUUUAAAAACUAAAUUAGUAUUAGUUAUGAUCUUUAAAAUUAAAGAUUUUGGCGGUAUUUUAGUCUUUUCAGAGGAACCUGUCCUGUAAUUGAUAAUCCACGAUUAAUUGUACUUAUUUUAAUUAGUUUGUAUAUCGUUGUAGUUAAAUAUUUUAAAAGAAAGAUAAUAUUUAAGAUUUUUUAUAAGAAAGGAUAUCAAAUCAAGGUGCAGCUUAUAAAUAAGAAGAGAUGGGUUACAAUAAAGUUAUUUAUAUGAAUAAUAAAAUGAAAUUUUUAUUUGAAGGUGGAUUUGAAAGUAAUUAGUUUAAUUUAUUUUUAAUGAUUAAAGCUCUAAAAUGUGU